AGCUCUCAUCGCGUCGUCGAUGCUGGCGAGAGGGACACCCCCUUGUUCAUGCAGGGACAUAUCUGAAUCCUGUGCACCAGCUGGUCGAUGAAAUGGCACAACAAGCUAGCUCCAACUAUUGACAAAAACAAGCAGUGGUCUAGAGCAAAUAGAGAAGCACAUGCACGUGGUUAUGCUGCGCACGUAUAUUGGAAAGCUCUUUUACAAAUUAUUCAACCUCUGCUGGCUUCUUAAUAUUUUGAGUUAAUAUUUUAUUGUAGGGAAUGGAUUGCUGCUUUUAGGGAUGAGUCAUCUUGUCGGUGUUUACUGCCAAGCCUGCUCAGGAAUACCCUUAUCAGUAGGGUUUGUAGAUGAGGAGGAAGCUGGAGAGAUGAGUGAUAGGGAUCUCAGCCCUACUCCGAGUACCGAUACUCAAACUGGGCAUCCCAGGAGUACUCGAUCCACGGCGAGGAAGCGUCGAAGCUCCUCCCAAACUGGUAGCGACAACCUGUCCCUUCCACCAUAGUGGGUCCAUCAAGUGGGACCGGGGCUACUCCUUCGGCGAGUAGUUCCAAUGUAAAUACUACUAUUGAUGCGGGUAAGCGGGCCAUAAUUGUGAAGCCUGCCCGCAAAAUUGACAUCAAGGGUCUUGCUCUGAGAAGAGCUCCUACGGAUGCAAUCCUGGAAGGGAACGUGGAGGCUGAAGACAGCUCAGCCUCCAAAUCGGAGCUGUAGAAGCCCCCGAAUACUCCUGAUAUGAGUGCUCAAGAUGCGGAGGCCAUGGUCGACUCCAUGCUUCGGGAUUCUCCGUUGCCAAAUUUGGAGAGGGGCAAUGAGGAUGUCCCGGAGGAUGGUGGAAAUGGCAAGCUUCCUCAGGAGGGAGAGGGCGAGAAGCUUCCUGAGGGAGGCAGUGAUAAGCAGCCCGAAGAGACCCCUGCAGAUUCCCAAAAUGCAGGGAAUACUAUAGGGAGGGUUGAAGAUGUGCCCAAGGGGGCAGUGGCUGAGGUGCGGGCGAGUACUUCCCAGGUCACAUCGGGAAGUGACUUGCCGCGUGAGAAGGUGGAGCUUGCUGUCAAGCUGCUAGAGAUAAGUAGUCGAAUACUUCGAGUACUUUUAAAGGAUAUCGAGUAGUGUACUGAUCUUUUUACUUUGCAGGAGGCGCUGGGACGGGAGGGUAGCUAGUCCCAGGAUGAGAUAGAACUGAAUGCCCUGAAAGAGAGGGUUAAGACGCUCUCAUUCGAGAAGGCAGCUCUCGAGGGGAAGCUAAAGAAGCUUUCCCAGUCGAAGAAAGCUUUUCGACUGCACCGCUUCAACACCUCCACCCAACGACUGCUCGUCAUUCUACGAUUCUGGAUCACAAAGUCAUGGCUUCAUGACAGGAAGUGACCUCCUUCUUAAGAAUUUUGUUGUUUUGAUCACAACUGGGAGCUAGGUACCUGAUGAGUUGCUUGGCAGUUAACACGUCUCUUGUUCUACAAUCUGUUGUGUCAUCCAUCAUGCCAUCAUAUUAGUCCAAUGGAUGGAAUUAUUUUAACUUUGAAGGAGGGGUUGAAACACUUUGCAUCACAGAGGCGAGUUCUACAGGAAGAAGGAAGAGCUCAUGGUUGCUGCUGCAGUCUAGGGAAGGACAAGAACAGAUGAGAAUUGAACUCCCGUGUAAUUCCCUUUCCCUUCUCUAAUUUUACUCUAAGAACUCCAAUGCAAUUCCUUUCCCUUUCCCAGAUAGCAAAAUUACUGAAAGAACUACUAUAAAUUGGUCAUAUUCAUAGUGAUAAUUAUUUUUUAAGUUAUACUAUGUCCCUAGAAUUAUAAGGUUUCAUUUUUGGUUGUGUGUCAUAUGGAUUAAUGUUUUAAGUUCCUUUUUCUUCUACAUGACAGGGCGUGCUGGAAGCAAUGGCCUACAUGGUUAUGUGACUUCUCCAGCUACAUUAGGAUAGGGAAGGCAUUCUAGAAACUGGACGGAUCCAUACAUUACAAGGGAGAUCUGUAUUAGGGAUGUGAGUGGUACUGGAUUCAUACAUAUUGCGACAAACAACAACCUGGUGACAGGUGGAAAUUCUUGAAGCUGAAUGACUUUGUGAUGGUCAUAGGAGCUCUUGUGGACUGUGAUCGAGGGGUAGCUUUGAGGAGUGCGAGAGCACUAGAAUAUUUUUGUUUCAAAGUGGCACCUAUCCACGGAUAAAACACCUCGAAGAUCUUAGACAUGGGUUGUGCAGAGACGUUUUGGUUAACGAUGGUGUAAAAUGUGCCAUUACCGAACAUGUUGAUAAGAUGAAGAUGUUAGAUGCUCGCUCCAAGAGUAUUAGUGUUCUGCUUCUUAAGCGAUCUAUUUGAGUACAUGAUCGACGGCAAUCGUAAAGAUCUCGUCGUUGACGAGCAUGAAAAUAACUAGACUUAUGGAGAGGAAUUUGAUUAGGAUUGUAAUAUUAUGUUUUAAUUUAAUUAGCUAUGCAUGGCAAGUAUCA